rnacentral:lncRNA from 1 species
GGGGGGGGGUUGAGAUCUCACAAACAUGUUUAACCCCGCCGCAUUUUUGCGCCUGUCCCAAGUCAGGAGCCUCUGGCCUUUGUUAGUCUUGUAUUAUUUUAAUUUUAGUUUCUUGUGUUCAAUUUGGAAAUUAGUAUGGCGUUCAUUAUCACUGGACUAGUAUAUAUUUGUUUAGGGGCCAGCUGAAGGACGCCUCCGGGUGCGGGAAUUUCUCGCUACAUUGAAGACCUGUUGGUGACCCUCUGCUGUUGUUUUUUAUUUGGUAGGGUUGUUGUCUCUUUGACACCUUCCCCAUUUCCAUUCUCAAUUUUAUUUUUCAUA